GGAGUAAGCCAGACCGCCGCUGGUGCAAUCGCCGAAAGGCCGCACUGGAGGAAGGUCCGGACUGCACAGGGCAGCGCAGGAGGUAACGCCUCCCCACCGCAAGGUGCGAAUCAGAGCCACAGAGACGAGCCGGUUCAGUCCGGAGUGAAACGCGGCAAUCUUUGCGCGCAGCAACACCAAGUAGGCCGGCGGUGAGGUGGCCCGCGGAGCCGGCGGGUAGGUGGCAUCGAGCUGGGUGAGCGAUCGCCCGGCCCAGACGAAUGGCGGUCACGGCCGCGGCUUCGCAAGAGGCUGCGGCUGCACAGAAUCCGGCCUAUCGGCUUGCUUCACAU
rnacentral:RNase_P_RNA from 1 species